UACAGAGGGGGCAAGCGUUGUUCGGAAUUACUGGGCGUAAAGCGCACGUAGGCGGAUAUUUAAGUCGGGGGUGAAAUCCCGGGGCUCAACCCCGGAACUGCCUUCGAUACUGGGUAUCUUGAGUUCGGAAGAGGUGAGUGGAAUUGCGAGUGUAGAGGUGAAAUUCGUAGAUAUUCGCAGGAACACCAGUGGCGAAGGCGGCUCACUGGUCCGAUACUGACGCUGAGGUGCGAAAGCGUGGGGGGCAAACAGG
rnacentral:rRNA from 1 species